rnacentral:rRNA from 1 species
AUGCGUCCCCUCCUCCUCCCGGCCUCGCUGUCGUUAUCGCUACACGUCGCCGGUGCCGCUGCGUCGUCCUCCCGCCGCGCCAUGGUCGCUGUGGCGUCCGCGGCGUCCAGGAGCUUGUCGUCGUCCUCGUUCGACGCGUCGGCCUUCGAGGCCGAGCGGCUCCGCCUCGACGCCGAAGCGCGGGCCUCGAUGGUGUGGAGGAAGAUACGAAAGCGGGUGUGGGACGUGCUCGAGGCCGAGAGCGUCGCGCGCAACCCGCGCCCCGUCCACCACCGCAUCCCCAACUUCGAUGGCGCCGCCGCCGCCGCCGAUUCGUUAGGGAGGUUGGACGUGUUUCAGAAUGCACAAUGCGUGAAGGUCAAUCCGGAUUCGCCGCAGAAGCAAGUUCGAUUCUUAACACUCUCAGGCGAUAAGAAACUUCUGACACCGCAACCACGGCUCAGGACGGGGUUCUUCUCCGCUCUAGAAUCUCAGAUGAUACCCACUGGAUGCAUUCCUGAAGCAUGCACUUCUGUUGGCGCAGCCAAAUAUGGAAGGCCGAUAGGUCUAGAUGAAGUGAUUAAAGUGGAUCUGAUUGUGAUUGGGUCGGUUGCAGUUGAUCCAAGCACGGGAGCACGACUAGGGAAGGGUGAGGGAUUUGCAGAGCUGGAAUAUGGGAUGCUUCGUUAUAUGGGAGCUAUAGAUGAUUCGACCAUGGUAGUAACAACUGUACAUGACAAGCAAUUAGUGGAUGACAUUCCAGUUGAAAAGCUGCUAAUUCAUGAUGUACCGGUUGAUAUUAUCUGCACCCCAACUCAGGUCAUCUUAACAAAUACUGCAAUCCCAAAGCCACAAGGGAUUUACUGGGAAAAACUAUCUCCCGAAAAGUUGGGCCAAAUUCGAAUUCUAAGAGAGCUGAAGAGACGCAUAGAGAAGAGACAGGAACAAUACUUCCUUGUGGGCCAUCUGAGAAUCUACCACCAACAGCUCAGCGAAGAAGAAGAAGAGGGCGAUAACUAA